UACGUAGGGACCGAGCGUUGUCCGGAAUCAUUGGGCGUAAAGAGCGUGUAGGCGGCCACUUAAGUCCUGCGUGAAAUCUUGCGGCUCAACCGCAAGCGGUCGUGGGAAACUGGGGAACUUGAGUGCAGAAGAGGAGAGCGGAAUUCCACGUGUAGCGGUGAAAUGCGUAGAGAUGUGGAGGAACACCAGUGGCGAAGGCGGCUCUCUGGACUGUAACUGACGCUGAGGCGCGAAAGCGUGGGGAGCAAACAGG
rnacentral:rRNA from 1 species